rnacentral:rRNA from 1 species
UACGGGGGGGGCAAGCGUUGUUCGGAAUUACUGGGCGUAAAGGGCUCGUAGGCGGCCAACUAAGUCAGACGUGAAAUCCCUCGGCUUAACCGGGGAACUGCGUCUGAUACUGGUUGGCUUGAAUCCGGGAGAGGGAUGUGGAAUUCCAGGUGUAGCGGUGAAAUGCGUAGAUAUCAUGAGGAAGACCAGUGGCGAAGGCGGGUCUCUGGACAGUUCCUGACACUGAGACACGAAGGCCAGGGGAGCAAACGGG